rnacentral:misc_RNA from 1 species
GAUGAAGAACGUAGCGAAAUGCGAUACGUAAUGUGAAUUGCAGAAUUCAGUGAAUCAUCGAAUCUUUGAACGCAUAUUGCGCUCUCUGGUAUUCCGGAGAGCAUGCUUGUUUGAGUAUCAGUAAACACCUCAACUUCCAUAUCUUUUUUGAAAUGGGAGUUGGACUUGAGUGAUCCCAACGCUUUUCCUCACCGAAAAGUGGCGGGUUACUUGAAAUGCAGGUGCAGCUGGACUUUUCUCUGAGCUAUAAGCAUAUCUAUUUAGUCUGCCUAAAAACAGAUUAUUACCUUUGCUGCAGCUAACAUAAAGGAGAUUAGUUCUUGUGCUGACUGAUGCAGGAUUCACAAAGACAGGCUUCGACCGACUUUGUAAACUCGAUCUCAAAUCAAGUAAGACUACCCGCUGAACUUAAGCAUAUCAAUAAGCGGAGGA